rnacentral:rRNA from 1 species
GGCCUUUUGAUUAUAAUUUAAGGUCGGGCCUGCCCAAUGAAAAAUUUAAUGGCCGCGGUAUAUUAACUGUGCAAAGGUAGCAUAAUCAUUAGUUUUUUAAUUAAAAGCUGGAAUGAAGGGUUUAAUGAAAAAAGUUCUGUCUCUAUUUGAAUUUAUUAGAAUUUUAUUUUUAAGUUAAAAAGCUUAAAUAAUUGUUGAAGACGAGAAGACCCUAUAGAGUUUUAUAUUUUAAAAAAUUAUUGUAUUUGGUGAAUUUUAACUUAAUUUUUUGAAGGUAUUUAGUUGGGGUGAUUGAAAAAUUGAUAAAACUUUUUUUUUACUUAAACAUUAAUGUAUGAAUGGAUGAUCCUUUUUUUAGAUUAAAAGAAAAAAUUACCUUAGGGAUAACAGCGUAAUUUUUUAUAGAGUUCUUAUCAAAAAAAAAGAUUGCGACCUCGAUGUUGGAUUAAAAUAAGUUUUUGGCGCAAAAGCUAAAAGACUAGGUCUGUUCGACCUUUAAAUUUUUACAUGAUCUGAGUUUAGACCGGUUUGAG